rnacentral:misc_RNA from 1 species
UGCAAAUUGUUCCAUUGUCUAAAUUAGUAAAGAACAAAUUGAACAGGUGAAAUACAUUGAUUAAGAUUAAAAUUGCAAUCUCCAACAGCUACAUUUCGAUUGAGUCUACUCCUUUUUCGAUUUGGAGAGAGCUUUCUUUCUCUGCCCGAGCAUGUAACCGUACAUGUGAGGACUACCUGGGACAUAGAUACCGAGGGCAACAAGUCCUGCAUAGUAGUAAUUGAAAGAGAAAUUCCAUUUGUUUGGCAUCCUAAGAGAAUACAUAUCCGAUCCCUUGAUGUAAGGCAGAGCGCUAUAUAUCAAACCAACUUCACUUGUGAUGCCACUAGGAUACAGCAACAAGAAGGUACUAUACCUUAGCCACAAGAGCCACGAAGGUGCAGAGCCAAAUGCCUCUUUUGUCCCAAAAAAUGAAUAUCGAAUGAUCUCCGUUAUAGACCAGCUAAUCACUAGAGAACUAACAAGAAUAUGAGACCGAAGCUCAGGGAAACUCCAUAGAAUACCCCAGGUUACAUAUAAUCUUGAACUUAUUUGUGGAAGAGUUGCUGAUACUGGCGAUCUUACCAAACCCACUAAACCAUGAAGUAUCUCUAAAAUGGCCGCGGUUUGAGCUAAAAGCAAAGGCUUCUCUACAGCAUCAUAGACAUGUUCAUGCCCAGAUUCUUUCAGAGUUUUCACAGCAAAAUAAAAAACUUGAAACCAUCCAAAAAAGACAACCCAAUUGUAAAGUGUGAGGUAAAUACGUCUUAGAACUGAUAAAACUCCAGCCAUUGACGGACUCCAAAAAGCUUAAAACUUUGAAAAGUAUAAAAAAAAAUAUCAAAA